rnacentral:misc_RNA from 1 species
CCCGUUUUCUCUCCGCCGCCCCCCGCGGCUGUCGUUUUGCUCACUUUUGUUUCGCCUUCGUUACCACCCCGCCGUAGGGGUAACGAGUUGUACGUUUUCGCCUCCUUCCCCCACCAUGUCCAUCAUGGGUUCGUACUCUUCAUCUCCGCGGGGAGGUCUGGGCUGGUGCUGCGCCAGCAAGACUUGCAGCCGUGACCCCGCGUGCACCAGCUCCCUACGGAUCGUGCCAUCGAUUCGACACGCGCACGCAUCCGCCUCCUGUUGUGCUUCCCUUUAGGACGACAAGCUGUGAGCGGCUUGCACGCCGGCACAUGCCCUAUCCACGAGCUGCCUUCCGCCUGACACAUGGUCUCCUGUGAGAGGCGCGUGCACACGGGAGAGCGUGGGGUGCCCCAUGCCGUCACACCGACUCCUUGUGUCGCUCCAUCUGUCGCCGGCGCAUGCGGGCAAGCGAUCCUGGCAACGGCCCCCGCGUGCCUCCCACACGCCACCGGCAACAAGGUUGUGCUGGAAGCAGGCUGCAUGAUCCGAAAGCGCGAGCACGGUGCUUGACGCGCUGUGAAGCACCGCUGGCAGGGUGUGCCCCAUGCCAGCGCGGCAUCCCAGAGGUCAGCAGGGCACGAGCGCCGGCCGACGAGAGGCGCGGAAAAGUGUGUGCCGAUGAGCCCCACAGUGCGUGUGCGCGAAACGUGCCGGAAGCAUGCCAAGAACACCGCGAAUGGCCGCAUGGGCACCCCCCCCCCUCCUCCCCAGGCUGCGAUGUGAGGAGUCUCCACACAGACUCAUGGGGCAGCCGCGGGCUGCAGCGACUAAGUGCGGAAGAUGGCAUGCACGCCAGGCGCAGGGUCUCCGUAGGGCGCUGGGCAGGCGCUGGCCAGCCUCCUCCCCCGACCUCAUGCGGGAUGCACCUGGACCACCGCCUACUACACACCGACGUCAGAGGCCACCGCCUCGGCCCUGGAGCAGGACCGUAGACGCGAUGCGCUCAGGUGAAGGCCCGCCGACCACCCUAUGUCCGUCUGGCGCCUCCGGCGCCGCAGGUACCCCGGACGGAGACGUGCAGAGGGAAGAUAAGAGCGCGUAAAGCACGUAGCCGCCGAUUUGGCGGCGGGAUGGUUCGUCCUAGACGCCGAGGGUGUAGCCGUAGCGGGAGCGUGGUGGGUGGGGUGUGGCUGCGUAUGCGCGUGUCUGUCUGGACUUGCUCGUGCUGGGCUGACACGAUGACGAAGACAAAAAGAAAGGACGCCUUGAGGCGCUCCUCUUCCUGGCUCUCUCCCUCUCCGUGAAAGAUGAGCGCAUGGACACCGUUUGGCACGGCGGCAUGGAUGAAUUCUGAUGACGUUUCUUUCUCUGUUCGAGCACGGUACCGUUCGUGCUGACCGAUGUUUGUGUUUGCUUGAACAUCUUGUCUCUGUGGUUUCGUUUUUGCUGUCUCGUUGGUGCGGUGUUGCGGGUAUGUCUCUGCAUGAAUGUUCUCUUGUACGGCUGCGCGAUGCUUUCUACCGAGAAACACC